rnacentral:misc_RNA from 1 species
AAUCUUUAUUCCUGAAUAACUACAAGGAGUUUCGCUUGUAAACAACGCAUCUGUCAAUUGUUUUGCCUCUCCCAAAGAUUAACCAUUUUGACGAUAAACCUAUCACCUCUUAUAUUAAUUGUUAUCCAUAUUUUGAUUUUCAAACAUUUGCGCUGUUUUUUAUUGGCUGAGUUUUUGUACGUUAGGUCUUGGUUGAUAACUUGCUAACCCUUUUGUAACGUCAUCUCAAGUGGUUCGAUCAUUUACUAAUUGUUGUAACGAAACACAACUUUAAAAUCAGUUCUAAAGAAAGUUUAAAUAUGAUUAGAUAGAGCAAGAAUUAGACUUUUCACUUCACAGUAGAGUAAAAUAUUGGUUUAAUCAGUAGAUCAUGGUUUCGUGGGAGAGUUUAUCUCUGGAGAGAAAGUGUUUUAAAUAUUCGUAGAUCAUAAUAAACAAGUUAGAAUUAGACGAGAAGACAUCAUUUAAGUUUAGUGAGUACAGUAGAACAAGAAGAAGACAGGAAAAUAUUCAGAAAUCCUACACCUAAGGAACAACUAAACCAAAACAACUUUACAUGGAAACCAUACACUAGAGAUGAACCAGUUUAUGCAGAUCUUGGAGAACAGGCUAUAUUAAGAAAAACUGAUCACCUUGGUAACAUGAACUUCUGGAUCAAUUUUGUCCCACUGUUUACCGACUAUCCAAUGAACAACGAUGAAAGAAUUCAGUGCAAUCGGACAGUUUUUGUGAUUACUUCCAGCUUUCUGGGCCUCACCUCCUUUCUUUGUAUUACUCUUAUUCUUUAUGCUUGUAUUCAAAGAAGACAUCAGCCCGGUAUUGUACUGAAAGAUCCUCCAUCAUAUUUGUAAUAGCGUAACUUAUCUUAUUCCCGAACUUGGCAAGUUACAUCUGAUUCAUUCUCAUUUACAACAUUUAAAGAUCUUGUUGAAAAAAAAAAUCCCUUAGAUCUGCUGAAAAUGUGCUCCUAGUAGUGUACAAUUAUUGUAUAAAGAAGUUUCAUGUACCCAGUAAAAUUUCAAAAAGUGCCCCCCCACCCCACCAGAAAAACUUCUAACUAUGCCACUGAACUAAAAUUUUUUUGAAAUUUCAAAUUGUUGAGGUUAACUUCUUUAAUAACUUUUCAAAGUUUUAACUGUUCUUGUGUAACUUGCAAUAUUUAAAAUGUGAUAAGGGUAUUGCAACAGACACUGCUUGUUCAGUAUAGUUUCUGUGUAGUGUUUAUCCAUUAUGAUGUCAAAAUUGUUACCUUAGCUUGCUGAAGUUACAUAUGAUCUAAUUUAUCUUUCAGUGUAUGAAGACGUCACAACAAAUCCACUAUAUACUAUAAAUAAAUAUUUCAAUUUGUCAACUUUAACUUUCAGUACACUAAAAUGUAUAUACAAUGACAGAAACGAUCUACUACCACUUCUAGUGCGUAUCCUCCUCCGAGUUAUAAUCCCUUUAUAUAAGUGUAUGUAUACUAUAUACUUUAACAAUGCAUGUAUUUCCUUUUUAAUGAAUAGAUACUUUUCCAAUAAUAAUACAUGCGUUUAAUUCACACCACUACUUAACAGCGUGUAUAAUAAUACAUGCGUUUAAUUCACACCACUACUUAACAGCGUGUAUAAUAAUACAUGCAUUUAAUUCACACCACUACUUAACAGCGUGUAUAAUAAUACAUGCGUUUAAUUCACACCACUAGUUAGCAGCGUGUAUAAUAAUACAUGCGUUUAAUUCACACCACUACUUAACAGCGUGUAUAAUAAUACAUGCGUUUAAUUCACACCACUACUUAACAGCAUGUUUUCAAAUUACUACAUCAGAGUAUUAUAUUUUAUUUAUUUAGCCUAAAGUUGAUGUUUUUAACGUGCACUUUUUGCACGUAGAGUUACACUCAGGGUCCAAAUUAUAGAAAUAAGGUGCAGAUGUGUGUGUAUAUCUUACAUGUGUUUAAACUCAUUGAUAGCCAUGAGCUUUAGGUGCGAGUUGAUAUGCAUUUUGAGGUACUCUAGAACCCUUAAAAAAAUUGAAUUCUAAAUGGUUUUUAAUAAAAUAAACAUUCCAGCAGACCUCCAGCCUUAUUUAAUAUUCCUUAAUAAAUUUGAGGAAUUAUAAUUUUAUAUUAGAUAAAUGCUAUGCUAAUGUCACAUAAGACACAGCUUUGAAUUAAAGAAAACAUUUUUAACUAUACUCUAUAUUUUGUUGUUUUCGGUGCAAUAAAGAUAUCUUUUUUUGGUA